rnacentral:rRNA from 1 species
AUUGACCGCUGGCGGCAGGCCUAACACAUGCAAGUCGAACGAGUGGCGGACGGGUGAGUAAUGUCUGGGAAACUGCACGAUGGAGGGGGAUACAUACUGGAACCGGUAGCUAAUACCGCCUACCAUCGGAUGUGCCCAGAUGGGAUUAGCUAGUAGGUGGGGUAACGGCUCACCUCGGCGACUAUCCCUAGCUGGUCUGAGAGGAUGACCAGCAACACUGGAACUGAGACACGGUCCAGACUCCUACGGGAGGCAGCAGUGGGUAAUAUGGCACAAUGGGCGCAAUCCUGAUGCAGCCAUGCCGCGUGUAUGAAGAAGGCCUUCGGGUUGUAAAGUACUUGCAGCGAGGAGGCGUUACUCGCAGAAGAAGCACCGGCUAACUCCGUGCCAGCAGCCGCGGUAAUUC